rnacentral:rRNA from 1 species
AUGCCUAGGAAUCUGCCUGGUAGUGGGGGACAACGUUUCGAAAGGAACGCUAAUACCGCAUACGUCCUACGGGAGAAAGCAGGGGACCUUCGGGCCUUGCGCUAUCAGAUGAGCCUAGGUCGGAUUAGCUAGUUGGUGAGGUAAUGGCUCACCAAGGCGACGAUCCGUAACUGGUCUGAGAGGAUGAUCAGUCACACUGGAACUGAGACACGGUCCAGACUCCUACGGGAGGCAGCAGUGGGGAAUAUUGGACAAUGGGCGAAAGCCUGAUCCAGCCAUGCCGCGUGUGUGAAGAAGGUCUUCGGAUUGUAAAGCACUUUAAGUUGGGAGGAAGGGUUGUAGAUUAAUACUCUGCAAUUUUGACGUUACCGACAGAAUAAGCACCGGCUAACUCUGUGCCAGCAGCCGCGGUAAUACAGAGGGUGCAAGCGUUAAUCGGAAUUACUGGGCGUAAAGCGCGCGUAGGUGGUUUGUUAAGUUGGAUGUGAAAUCCCCGGGCUCAACCUGGGAACUGCAUCU